UACGUAGGGUGCGAGCGUUAAUCGGAAUUACUGGGCGUAAAGCGUGCGCAGGCGGUUUUGUAAGCCAGAUGUGAAAUCCCCGGGCUUAACCUGGGAAUGGCAUUGGUGACUGCACGGCUAGAGUGUGUCAGAGGGGGGUAGAAUUCCACGUGUAGCGGUGAAAUGCGUAGAGAUGUGGAGGAAUACCGAUGGCGAAGGCAGCCCCCUGGGAUAACACUGACGCUCAUGCACGAAAGCGUGGGGAGCAAACAGG
rnacentral:rRNA from 1 species